rnacentral:rRNA from 1 species
UACGUAGGUGGCAAGCGUUGUCCGGAUUUAUUGGGUUUAAAGGGUGCGUAGGCGGUUUUCUAAGUCAGACGUGAAAUCCCUCGGCUUAACCGGGGAACUGCGUCUGAUACUGGAUGGCUAGAGGUUGGGAGAGGGAUGCGGAAUUCCAGGUGUAGCGGUGAAAUGCGUAGAUAUCUGGAGGAACACCGGUGGCGAAGGCGGCAUCCUGGACCAAUUCUGACGCUGAGGAGCGAAAGCCAGGGGAGCAAACGGG